AGCAUACAACUGCGUGGCGACCGGCGCACGGGUGAGUAACGCGUAUGCAACCUACCUAUCAGAGGGGAAUAACCCGGCGAAAGUCGGACUAAUACCGCAUAAAACAGGGACACCGCAUGGUGAUAUUUGUUAAAGAAAUUCGCUGAUAGAUGGGCAUGCGUUCCAUUAGGUAGUUGGUGAGGUAACGGCUCACCAAGCCGACGAUGGAUAGGGGAACUGAGAGGUUGGUCCCCCACACUGGUACUGAGACACGGACCAGACUCCUACGGGAGGCAGCAGUGAGGAAUAUUGGUCAAUGGGCGAGAGCCUGAACCAGCCAAGUCGCGUGAAGGAAGAAGGAUCUAUGGUUCGUAAACUUCUUUUGCAGGGGAAUAAAGUGCAGGACGUGUCCUGUUUUGUAUGUACCCUGAGAAUAAGGAUCGGCUAACUCCGUGCCAGCAGCCGCGGUAAUACGGAGGAUCCGAGCGUUAUCCGGAUUUAUUGGGUUUAAAGGGUGCGUAGGUGGUUUGAUAAGUCAGCGGUGAAAGUUUGCAGCUUAACUGUAAAAAUGCCGUUGAAACUGUCGGACUUGAGUGUAAAUGAGGUAGGCGGAAUGCGUGGUGUAGCGGUGAAAUGCUUAGAUAUCACGAAGAACUCCGAUUG
rnacentral:rRNA from 1 species